rnacentral:rRNA from 1 species
UACGGAGGGGGCUAGCGUUGUUCGGAAUUACUGGGCGUAAAGCGCACGUAGGCGGCUUUGCAAGUUAGAGGUGAAAGCCCGGGGCUCAACUCCGGAAUUGCCUUUAAAACUGCAUCGCUAGAACUGUGGAGAGGUAAGUGGAAUUCCGAGUGUAGAGGUGAAAUUCGUAGAUAUUCGGAAGAACACCAGUGGCGAAGGCGACUUACUGGACACAUAUUGACGCUGAGGUGCGAAAGCGUGGGGAGCAAACAGG